UGAUCAGCAUGCCGCGUGUGUGAAGAAGGCCUUCGGGUUGUAAAGCACUUUUGUCCGGAAAGAAAUCCUUGGUCCUAAUAUGAACGGGGGAUGACGGUACCGGAAGAAUAAGCACCGGCUAACUACGUGCCAGCAGCCGCGGUAAUACGUAGGGUGCAAGCGUUAAUCGGAAUUACUGGGCGUAAAGCGUGCGCAGGCGGUUUGCUAAGACCGAUGUGAAAUCCCCGGGCUCAACCUGGGAACUGCAUUGGAGACUGGCGGGCUUGAGUGUGGAAGAGGGGGGUGGAAUUCCACGUGUAGCAGUGAAAUGCGUAGAGAUGUGGAGGAAUACCGAUGGCGAAGGCAGCCCCCUGGGCCAAUACUGACGCUCAUGCACGAAAGCGUGGGGAGCAAACAGGAUUAGAUACCCUGGUAGUCCACGCCCUAAACGAUGUCAACUAGUUGUUGGGGAUUCAUUUCCUUGGUAACGCUGCUAACGCGUGAAAUUGACUCCCUGGGGAGUACGGUAGCGAGAUUAAAACUCUCAGGAGAUUUGGGGG
rnacentral:rRNA from 1 species